AGUGGUUGAUUUGUCAAUACUACCAUAGUAUGAGCUUGGAUAUAAGGUAUGAGUCUCUGGACUGCCAUGAUCAAAGCAUAUAUCAUUUUUUCAAUCUUUUAAUAUCGGAUCUCUGCAUCCUGUAAUAAUUUGCUGGUGUAGUAGAUAGGUCCUUAAAUUUCUCUCUCUUCUCGGAUAAGAAUCGAGCUGACUACAAAAGGUGAGAUAGAAAUAUAUGUGCACAGUUCUUCGCCUUCGAUCG
rnacentral:lncRNA from 1 species